rnacentral:tRNA from 1 species
AGAAUAGUAUUUAAAUUUUAAAAACCUAAUCUGCAAUUAGGUCAUGCUUGGGCCUAUUCU